rnacentral:rRNA from 2 species
GGAUCAGGUAGGGAUACCCGCUGAACUUAAGCAUAUCAA